CUCGCUCGACAUGGGAGGCGGAUCAUGCUCGUGCGCUCGUUGUGCCUGUCGCUGGACAGAGAGGUGGAUCGGGCACGGAGGAAUCCAUCCACGGCCGAUGCGGCCGACGCGCGCGAUGCGCUCGAGCGGGAUCCAGACGAAGGGCGCGAGCCGCGCCCGGCGACGCGGGCGAACCCUCCAGGUGGCGGCGUGAUGAGCAUGCGAUUCGACAGGGAUCCAAGGGAAGUGCGCGGCGCUGCCGGCCGCGACCACCACGACUCGCUCGAGCGGGAUUCCGGUGCGGGAGGGGAUCGACACAAGGCGAGGCAUCCUGCCCGGAUCGAGCCGAUGCGACGUGCGUGAGGAUGCGGCGCGGCAAACCCUAGGUGCCGCCACCAUGCCCUCGUGCUAUGCAUGUACACAGGUCACAGAGUGGUGGAGGCUGACGGCUCGGAGGAGGUACAUGACAAGAUCAUAUUCGGCGCACAUGCACCUGACGUUUUGAGGGUGCUAGGAGACGAAGCAACACACGAGGAGUUGAGGAUCCUGGGUGCUUUCCAAUAUGUCCAGAGCGACAUGUACCUACAUUGUGAUGAAAGCCUUAUGGCAUGGAAUUCGUCGACAUGGAGCACCUGCAACUUCCUGGGAACAACCAGCGCUAGAGAGUUGCACUGCUUUAAUUCGGCGGCUUGGUUGUCGGGAUUGUCUUACUUACAUGAGCAUUGAUGCUGGUUGGUGUAACGGGUACAGUACUAACUUAAUUUUAGUGUAUUUUUUCAUAUAAUAGUUUCAUUUUUCCAAUGAGGAUUGUCUUGCUUACAUGAGCAUUGAUGCUACUUGGUGUGAUGGGCAUAAUAAUGGUUUUAUUUUUUAGUUUUGAGAUUUCAAAGAGGGUCACUCAACGAAAGGUUAUCAUUCAUCACUGUAACCCAGUCUUCUGCAAACUUGUUGAGUAUCCAUGUAAUUAUGAUUAAUUCUUGGUGUUAAUGGACCCUGUAUAUUUAUAUAGCAAUGCUUGUUUUUUUAACUCAAAAAUUCACAGGAGAGUUUCAAAGCUGCUUUCAAGGAAGUCUAUAGACUAAACAAAGUUUCUGUCACGACAACUAACUCAAUGGUAUGAAAUAUGCCAUAGAGGAUGGCUAUUCCAUGAUGAAACAUGAGGUACCGGAGGAUAAAGCUCAGGAGAUGAUGGCAUAGGCAGUAAAAAAGCUGAGUAUAAAAUCCAAAUUCUGCGAUCAGUACAUCAGAAAAAGGGUGGACAUUGCCUGAGCUAUCAUGCUGAUUACUAUGGUGCCAGAUGGUUGCAAUAAUGUCCAUUCAGAACAACGUUUGAUGUGUUUGUGCUUUGGUUUUAUAGGGUUGUACACUUGAAACACUGUAAUAUGAACUACUCAAAUUAUGUCAAAAGGAUGCUAUGAGGUUCCAUACUGUUGUAGAUGUAGCUUUCAAGGCAUGAAUGAGUGCUCUUCUUCCUGGAAGAAAAAUUGCAACUCUUAGAAAUAUCAAGGGGGUUCCUCCUCUCUACAAGAUAUCCUUACCACAUUUUGAAAACCUUGAUGUACUAUCUAUAAACCUACAGUCCUUUGGCAAGAACUGGCUCGAACGGAUCUUAAACAUGAACUUUUAGGGAAUUAUAAUAUAUUUACAUCUUCUCAUGUAUUUCUAGCGUCCCUUACUACCACAUUGUUUCACCGCAAAACAAUUAAACCCCCCAUUAAACUAACCAAUUAAUGAGUUGGUUU